AGGCUCAGAACGAACGCUGGCGGCAGGCUUAACACAUGCAAGUCGAACGCCCCGCAAGGGGAGUGGCAGACGGGUGAGUAACGCGUGGGAAUCUACCGUACCCUACGGAAUAACGCAUGGAAACGUGUGCUAAUACCGUAUACGCCCUACGGGGGAAAGAUUUAUCGGGGUAUGAUGAGCCCGCGUUGGAUUAGCUAGUUGGUGGGGUAAAGGCCUACCAAGGCGACGAUCCAUAGCUGGUCUGAGAGGAUGAUCAGCCACAUUGGGACUGAGACACGGCCCAAACUCCUACGGGAGGCAGCAGUGGGGAAUAUUGGACAAUGGGCGCAAGCCUGAUCCAGCCAUGCCGCGUGAGUGAUGAAGGUCUUAGGAUUGUAAAGCUCUUUCACCGAUGAAGAUAAUGACGGUAGUCGAGAGA
rnacentral:rRNA from 1 species